UUUUUCAAAAUCUAAUUGUCUCAAAAUAUGUGGUAGCCUUAAAAAUAAAUAAAUAAAUGAUACCAAGUCUCUCCAUUAUUAUUAAAACACAAUUAAUAUCAUAGGUAAAUAAUAAAUCUCUUGGAUCAUAUAUUUUGAAAAGUCAUAGCAAAACAAUAUUUGAAAACUUAAAUUCCAUCUUCUUCUCUCAUAAGCCUAAACUAAAUUUUCACUCUAUACUCAUGUUCAUCUCUCUAUCAAUCCUAAAUCAACAACAAUAAGAUAUAAAAUAAAAACAAGAGAAAAAAGUAAAAAGAGAAAAUAAAAACUUAAAUCAACCGUGUCAACCCCAUGUAAUGCAAACAUAAAAAAAUUUAAUUUCAAAACUUUCAGUAGAACAAAACAUACUCCAUUUUUAAUAUAUGACAUUGUUCUUCUAAAAAC
rnacentral:lncRNA from 1 species